rnacentral:lncRNA from 1 species
AGAAAGACCUUCAAAAUCAUGGCCACCGCUUCGAGUUCUAAUUUGGAGCCCAUGUUUUCUUGAACAAUAAAUUGUUGCUUGAAUAUGGGAAGCAUGGAGCGGUGUUACAAUGACCAAAGGUUUAGGGGUAGAUGGUGUAGUGAAUCUAAAAUUUCGAACGGUAGCGUUCAAAACAGAAGAAUAGGAAGAAUUAUUUUGUGUGAAGACAACUUUAGAAAUGGAAGAGGAGUCGUUGGAUUGAAGAGAAAGGCAAUCAAGAAAAGUCUCAUCAGCCUGAGCUGAAGCUGCCCAUAACAAUAAGAAGAGAGCAACAUAAAGAAAUGAUGAAGACAUUGAAAAGUGAAGAGAUUUCAUAUUUUUGAAACUGAUGAUUUCGAAACUGAUGGUUUUGUGCAGAGUUUGUGAAGAGCUCCCCUAUUUAUAGAUUUACAUAACCUGAGGGGAUGCUUGGAGCCGCAAAAAUGCAUUGGAAUUGAAUUUUCUUCAAACGCGGAAUGAGUUUGGAAAGGGGAUGGCAGUCAAUAUAACAUGUUGAUCUAUAUGUCGUCACUUCCUUGGGAAAAUCUUCACCAUAAGCAAUGAUGGCAUUGGGGGCAUUUGACGCACUCAAACUAAAAUUGCCUGACUUUUAUAACCUGAUCAAAUUGGUAAAUGAAAAGAGUUUUCCCAUUGGGUUUUACGUAGUGAAAGCAUGUGAAUAGAAUCGAAUUUAGUGACUCUUUUCUUAGCUUUCUCGAUCAUCACAUAUAAAUAACUUUAAAAAAAAAAUUUCUCUCUUUCAAAGAGGAUAGUAAUUUAUUGACCUUUGCCAUCCUGAAAAACCAAUUUAUUCCAAUAAGAUGACGAUUAGGCCUAAAUUGUCAUUGAAAAAUCUACAUUCUACGGGAUUCCGUAUGGCAUGGAAAGGGUAAAAGCUCCAUGGGAACACACCCAAAGCAUUCUCACACAAUAAAAUGAUGUUUUAUUUCAUGCCAUAGUUUCUUUUACUUCUUGCACAAUCUUACAAAUCGAAAUCAAUUUAAAAUUCUCAAACUUAAGAAUUUGACAAAUAUGAGAAAAGGUCAUAUAAUUGUUAAUCUCGGUAGUGAAGCAAUCAAUGUGGAAAAACCGAUUCACUCAUUCGGUUUAGGAUUAUUGUUACAAGCGAAGUUAAAAUGUUUGCUAUAUGUCCAUUUAUUUUUCAUUUAAUGUUGACUAUUUUUUGAAACAGUUGAAUUGAUAUUAAAAAUAAUAUUUAGUAGAUUGUAAGUUGAAACGUGUAAUAUUCACUUAAAUUGAAUAAGUAUAAGGGUACGGAAAUUCAAGGAUAAAUUAGAAAUUUCAAAAAAAAAUUUCCCAUUUAAUUUAUUUCUUUUUAUCUCAUAAAUAUUAUGAUUUCAUUUUAUUUUAAAUAUAUUAUUAAUUGAAACAUGAAAAAAAAAUCUAAACACUUUAAAUGAAAAGGUUUUCAAACAUACUUAUAUAUAUAUAUAUAUAUAUAUAUAUAACAAAAAAAAGUAGUUUAAUGUUUAAAAUAUAAAUUAUCAAAUUAAGUUGAAAAAGUUCAAGAGAGAAAGGUGAUUGGAAUAUUUUUAUCUUAUCGUGGAUAAGCCAAAGGAGAAAAUUCUCAUAAGACAGAGACAAAGUCCCCCGUAUUAAUAUUUUCAUGAGGAGGUGGGUUGUUCCCAUGAAAGUCCCAUUGCUUGGACGAUGUGCUUGCUAUUAUUUUCAACCAUUUCUACAUUUCUUGUUUUUAAGGUAAAAGUUUGAGCCUACAACAUAAAAUCUCCGACUUUCAUGUAGAUUUCCUUUUGUUUUACUAUAUAUUUUGGCAAAAAUAAAAUUCAACAAUUACUGGCGGUCUAGAUUGGACAUAAUUCCGGGAACAAAAAUUAACUACGAGUACUUGUUAAUAUUGAAAAAUAUUUUUUGUUCUACAAGAAAAAAGAAAGUAAAAAUAUUAGUAAAAUUAAAAAUAAAAUGAAUUUUUUUUUUUCAAAAAAAAUUUUAAGAUUAUAUUUUUUUAACAUUAAUAUAUAUGUGACAGUAAAAUACUAAAACUAUGUUCACAAAUCUUUUAUAUCAUUAUUAAUAAUUUAUAUGUACUUAAUUUUGGAACCAAUGCACAAAAUCCUUCUCUUUUAAAAAUAAAUUUACUAUUGUGAACCAAAUUUGAAAUUUUCAUGUAUAAGACAAAACAUAAAUACGUAAAUAAAUAAUAAGUAAAAAAAAAGGGAGUUAAAAAAGAUAAAUUUUGACAUAUUGAGUUGAAAACCGCGUAUGGAUGUAGCUGGGAAUAAAUAUAACUUGAAGAUAAACCUUUUUUGUUUUGGCCAAAGAAAGACCUGAAGAUAGGCUUUAAUAAAAGUCUUAAUCUGAAAAUUCUAAAUGUGACUUUCUACUUGCUAUUUGAGGAAAUUAAUUUCACAUAUUACAAUUAUGUCCCUAUUCUUUCAGGCAAUUUCUGCUCUGUCUGGUGCAACAUUAUUUUCAUUUGACUUUAUUAAAUUCUUGACUUCAAUUAUUCUUGAAAAUGGUUGUAUUUUUAAAUUAAUUAAAACCAUAUCAUAUCAGGCAUGACUUAGUCUAUUGCAUGAGAAAGGUUUGAUUUUGACUAAAAAAACCUCUGGAUAAAUUUAAAGCAAACUCCUGUGGAAUGCCUUCAUUGACUUUUGUUCAUUUUUUUUCCUUUGAAGAAUAUGUAGAUGAAUAUCCAAAGACAGUGAACCAACUCCUUAAAUUACGUUCGAAAACUGGAAACUGAUCUUAGAUAUGAAGGAAAACCUGUAUCCCUCAAAUUUCUUUUUCUUUUCGGAUUUGUUUUAUUCCAUUUCUUCACCACGAAAACUCAAAUCAUUAGGAAAAAUCAAAACUGAAAAUACACAAAAGUUAUUUUAUUUUUAGAGGAAAUUUUCAUUUCCGACAUAAAAAUUUUAAUUUCUUCAAAUUUGUAACAAAAAAUUAUAUCAGUAAUAUUUCGAAAAAAAAGAAAAUUUUGACAAAAAUUUACCUUUUUAAAAAUAAUUUCUCAUCUCUAAAAGCUCGAUCUCUUCUAGUUUAAACAAAUAAAUUACGCUCUUAUUUAUUAGCUUUUUUUAAAUUAUAAUCACAAAUAGGGAUGACAACAUAUCACUAUUGGGAUGACAUUGUGUCACUAUUGGGGUGGGUAUGAAACUUUUCAUCGCCAUAUUUGAUUACGUUACUCCUAUUCAUUUCUAUUUCGAUAUUCACCAAAUAAUACCUUCGUGUAUUUGUCUUCAUACCCCAUUAGUAACGAGUAACCCAAAUUUCCCUCGAAUCAUCGAUUAUGGGAAGUUUGAUAUGUGCCAUUCAAAUUUUGCAAGUUAAAAUAAAAUAAUAAAAUUCAUGAAAAAAACUCAUGACAAAGUCCAACCAUAUGGAAAAAUAAAAAGUAAAAAGUAAAAAUAUUAAAAUAAUAAUACACCUAAAGCCUAACCUUAUUGAAAUUUUAAUAAAUUUAUUCGAAAACUCAUAUCUAUAAAAAUAAAUAUAUAAAUAAAAACAUAAUUUUUUUUUUGAAAUACUCUAAAAACCGCCCAUAAACAUAAAUAUAAAAUUCAUAAAAAAAUCACAUAUAACGAAACCAACUACAUCAUCCCACGUAAGGGAAGCAACACAAAGGGCAUUAGAUUUUUAUCUUUUGUAGGGUUUAGGGAUUUCUAGGACGAGUUUCGAACAGUCAAAGCAUAGGGAAAAGGUAAAGGAAUUUGAUGGUCAUAGGCAAUAGUGGCAACUUUUAGGUUUCGAUUUAAAAUGAUUUUUCGUGAAAAAAUGGAGAGUUUUUUUUUUUUUUCUUUUUAAAUAAAAUCAAAGGCAAUAAGAUUAUAAAAAAGGCUGAAAGGAGAAUUUGGAUAAAUUUUCGAUUUUGAGUUUUGAUCUAAGCUAUUUGAUAAAUUUUUUGAGAAAUCCAAUUUGAUAAGAAAAAGAUCAAGAGAAGAAAAAUGAAUUUUUUCUGGUGAAAAUGACAUUGACAAGUGGCGGUCGACAACGAAACAUAGUGGCUGAUAGUUAGAGUCAAGAGAGAAGAGGAUGCCGAAAAAGGAGUUAGAAAGGAGGGACAAGUAUAGAGAGCCAAGGAGAUGAAAGAAAAUGAGGUGAUUUUAUUUUUAGUUUUUAUACUUUGCCUAAACACCUAAACAAUCAGCUUAGGAUCACCAAAUGCAUUAUAAUUGAUAUUGGUCGUGUAUCGGGUUAGGCAACUUACGGAGCGGGACAAAUGACUCGUGGGGUGGGAUGUCAAGGCAAAAUAAAAGAAAACAUAAAUACUAGAUUGGAUAUAGCACUCCUUUGUAGAUGAAAGGAAUUAGAAUUGGUCGAAAUUAAUAGGAGAACAUUCAAGCCCAAAGUAUCGUACACUUUAAGCAAGGAGGCUCGAAAGGCAGUGUGUGCUUAGGUGAAAUAAUUAAGAUUUCUAGCUGGGUUUGCGUCAAACAUAGCUUAGUGUUCUAACAUUGAUGAAGGCAAGUUUCAUGUGAUGAAAAGUUAUGAUUAUCCUAUUUUUAUGCAAUGGCUGUUUCCAAUUGUCUUUCAUGGCUUGUUGCCUAUUUCAAUUUGAAAUGCAAUAAUCAAGCUAUCUUAUUUCUUUAAACAUAUUUGCUAAACUAAAUUACAUGUACAUCAUAUGAAGAUAAAGAGGAAAAUGAAGAUUAUUAACAUGAAAUUAUUGAUUAUGAAUAGUGGUUAAUUUAUGUGUAUUUAACUUUACUACUUGUCACUUUGCUUGAGAUAUAAUACAAUAUGUUAUAUUUUUGUUUUUAGAUAUCAAUGUAUUCAUAUAUUCUUGAUAUAUGUUGCUGAAUUAUGUUGUUCCUGCUUAAAUAUGUUGUUGACUAUAUUGGUAUAUUUAUAGUUAUAAUGCUUAAACGAAAGGCUUCUAACAAAUCCAAAGUUAGAUAUGGAUUUACAUCUAUAUAGAGGGCAUUAUUCCCAAAUCUUAAUCAUCUAACACUCCAUCAGUACACCUUCGAUUUAAAAAAUACCAAGUGGUCGAGCCUCCACCCAUAAACCAUCCAGCAACAAAGAACAUAUACUCUGAGUCUUCUACCAUCGAGACUCCACCUACAUAUCACUCUAUACAAAAUAUCCCAACUGUCGAUCAGCAAUUCUCCAACCUUGUUGAUGGUGUUCAAGCCACUUUAUGUGAGUCGACCCUGCGAAAACAUACAAGACGACCUAAUGAAUGUUUACCCACACCUCUAAAUAUAGCAGACAAAGUGCCAAUUAUUUGUUUGCAAAACAAGUUAGGUGUUAAUAAAUUGUUUACUUUAUUUAUUUAUUCAUUUGAAUAGCAAUAUUAUUAACAUUAAGUUGAUAACUAUUUUAUUAAUAACUUAUAUACAGUACUUUUUGAAACCCACAAUCGUCUGAACGAUAAAGAAAUUGAUUAAAGAUUACUACAAUAAGGCAUGGCUGAUAUGAAGGAAAGUUUCCUUGAAUGUGAAGAUGAGCAUGUGAGAUAAAUUCCAAGUAUUUUUUACUAUUUUAAUACUUUCAUUUAAAUAUGUUAUUAACAAUUUUUAUUUACUUUUAGGAAAAUGCAUACAGUCUCCAAAAUAUACACAGCUAGUUUAUGACAUAUGGCAAGCAACAUGUAAAACACUGUUUAAAGAGAAUCUAAAAGGAAAAAGGUAAUUCAAUCCAUGAGUAGUUCUGAAGUUCGGGAUGAGCUUGGUGAAAAAGAGUGGAGUAAAUAAGCAUGAUAACAUCGGUCUGAUAAAGCAAGAAAGUAUCGACUAACAAAGAAAAAAGGCAGUAUCAUAAAGCACAUAGGUGGUUCAGCACAUUUUUCAGGUUUAUGCGCACAAAUUGAUAAUACCUUUUAAAUUGUUAUAUUUUAUAAUGUUUAAUUCUAUGAUUUUUUUUUUAUUAUUUAUAAACUGUGACUUGUAUUUUUAACCAUAGGCAUAGGAGCUUUAAUGAUCGCUUGUUUUUUUAACCAAACGUAGGCAUAGGAGCUUUAAUGAUCGCUUACAUAUAAGGAACUUUAUGAUCAUUCCCACACACGUUUAGCAGGACACACUGAUUUUAUGGACAACGAGUCCAAAGCUGUUAGUGUAACAGAAAAUUGCUUUAUGUAUGCUUCAUUUUAAUAUUUUCAUCAUUACUACAAUUUUCUUAUUAUGCUUUAUUUUAAGUAAUGUGAAUCAUGCAUUUGUAGGAAAACUAUGCUUCUUCCAUGAAUUAGAAGUAUGGUGAGGACACAACUGCUCAUCCCAAGUUCAGUCCACAGGCCCAGUGCAAAGUAAUUGGAGGGUUGAAAACCACCCGCACCCAUGUCUAUGAAUUUGGACAAGGCCAUGUUCAACGAAAUUAUUUGGCACACCCUCAUCCUCAUAUGGUAGCUCAUCUCACUAAGCUUGUGAGCUUACAAACUUCAUUUCCAAUGUUAGUUCAUUUGUCGAAGUUGAUGAUCUAAAAGGGAAGAUGAUAGAUAUGUAAGACCAACUCAAGGAAAUGAAUCGGUUACAACAUGAAAUAAAUAUGGUUUUGCUUAGUUAAAUGUCCAAAGGUGGUUCGUUUCCUACAUCUGGAUAUUCUUGACACAGUGGCGAAGGACAGCAAGAACCAGAAGGAAGUGCUCAGUGAGAGAUUGAUUCUUUCAUUAUUUGUUUUCUAUUGCAUGCAUAUGAUGAUGAAGUAAGGAUGAAUCUUUUUCUUUAUGGACAUUUGUGUUAUGUUUAAGAAUGAUUAUGUUUGUUUAUGAUUGAUUAUGGAUGUUUGUGAAUGUUUACAAAUCUAUUACAUAGAAAUGACGUGAAUGUUUAAUUGUGUGGUAUUAAAUAGUUGUAUUAUGAUUUAUAUAAAUAAUUUUUAUAUGAUUUGUAAUUAGGAAAAAGGAUUAAUUGUGAAAAAGAUCUAUCCUUUUGAGGGAUGAUCGAUCUUCUAUGAAUAGAGAUCAAUCUUCAGUCAUAAGGGACCUAUCCAUGAAAUUCCAAAGGCAAAUUAUUUAGGUAUAAUUAGACACGGAAUAGUGUGUAUAAGCAAUGGAAAUUUCAUUGCCAAUAAAUUUUAGCGACAAAAAACCCAAUGAAAUCAAUCUUCAUUCAUUGAAAAUGAAUCCUAGAAAAUACCUUUUAGUGAUGGAAAUUUUCAUCACCAAUAAGUUUUUAAAACAGAGGAUCAAAUCUUGAAAACCUAGAAAAAACCUUUUAGUGAUGGAAAUUUUCAUCGCCAAGAAGUUUUAACAACAGAGGAUCAAUCUUGAAAACCCAGAAAAUACAUUUUAGCGACGGAAAUUUCAUCAGUAAAGAUCUCUAGUGAUGGAAUUAUAAAACCAUUACCAACAACAAAUUUUGUCGCUAAUAGUUAAAGCAAUGGAAUCACAAAUUUUUUAAAAGAUUUAGGAAAAAUAAAUUUUAGUGACGAAAUAUUCUGUCACUAAAAGUUUUUUGAUAGAAUUAUAAAUUUUAUUUUUGCAAAACAAAUAAAACCAUAAUUAUUUUUUGCAACUAUUAGCAAAAGAAAAACAAUCUUUGAUAGUUCAGUUAUUUUUAUGGAAAAAGUAUUGGCAAUGGAAGACUGUCACGGACUUUACACUUUCUGAUGAACUAUUAUAGACAAAAAUUCCGUUGCCAAAACGUUUUACGAGUUAAAAAUAGACUAAUAGUGACGAAAAUUUUUGUUGCCAAUACUCUUAUUUCUUUUAAUAAAAUAAAUAGGUUAUCCAUACUCGUACUUGUAAUUAUGGUAAGAUUAAAAAUAAUUGUAACAAUAGGAUUAGUUACUACAACGAUGAUAUUGAGUACUGUAGCGUUAAAUUAAAAUUAGUGAUAAAAUAUGGGUUUAGAUGCAAAAGCAGUGGUGAGAGUAAAAUAAAUAAUAUUAAAAAAAAUGACUAUUAAAAAUAUUAAGUUAAAGUUUGUGUAUAAUGAAAAUUUUAAAUUAUUUGUCAUUUAUGAAGUUAAUAAAAAAUUAAACAUUACAAUAUUAUUUUUAUAUUAAAUAAUAUUUUUGUUAAAAAAUUGAUAAUAAUAUAUUUACACGAAUUAAAACUUAACAAAUUUAUUUUUCGUAUUUAUUUAAUAAAUUAAAACUAAACAUAUAAAAAAUAAAAAUAAAUAAUUUUAAAGUAACUAAAAAAAUUUAAGAAAAAAAUGAAAAUUUUGGGUAUUAUGAUCAAUAAAUCUAGUAUAGUAGCUCAUUGAACCUUUUUCCUAUGUCCAAAUGAAGUCUUAAUAUAAAUUAAAAAAAAGGGUAAUUCAAAUAUAAUUUAUGAUCAAACACAGUCAAAGCAACAUUAGGCCUUACUAGUCAGUAAUUAACAACUUUUUAAUGAGUAGAAAAAUUAAAUGCUACAAAAAAAAUCACAUUUAUUUAUUGUUUAUUAGUAUUAUUUAAUAAUAUAAAGUAAAAAGAUAAAAUUUAACUUAUUAAACCAAAAAGGAAAGCCCGCCUAUAGCAAUGGGUGAAGUCGUUCAAGAAAAUGUUGAUAAAAUCAAAACUUAAAAAUUAGACAUUCAAAGGCGAUUUAUCAGCUGACUAUUUGGCCAAAUAUAAGUCAACAUAUAUAAUUAUUUCCUAAUUCUUUCACACUAAAUCUACUCCAAUAUUAAUGUAGGGUGAUUAUCUCUAAAACAAGAAAUUUUAAUUAAUUAAAUUCUUGACUUCAAUUCCUCUUGAAAAUGUCUGUUUCAAGUUAGAAAAAUAUCAAUAUAGAAACCAGAAGUUUUAAUUGUGGGAUAGGAGGGGUGGGGUUCAUAAGAUGGAAGAGUAAUAUUAUAACUUGCCUAUUAUUGUGUAGCCUAAAAUUCAAUGAAUUUUUUUUUAUCAUAAAAAAUCCUAUGAAAUCUUACGUACGUACCAAAAGAAGAACAUUUAUUUUUAUGUUACACAUUAUAUUAUUAAUUUUCAUACAAAUUUGAGGAGACAAAUUCAAUAAAUAUAUAUGAUCUACAACUAAUUAGAAAGCAAAGGUAAUUAGUACAUUUAUUUAAAUAAUCAUACAACAAAUCAGGCCCAAAUGCUUACAAAAGAAUUCUUUAUUUUGUUUACACAAUUUCCAAUCAAAUAUUUCUAUAAAAGGUUUAACGCCCAAAGGUUAUUUUGAUUUUUUUUAGUUAGUGAAAAAAAGGAGGAAUACUUUGCUCAUGCCUGAAGAAAUUCUGUGGAUCAACAUCGGCCUUCACACGAACUAACCUGCCAAAGUUGUUCAAGAAAUACUUACGACCCCAUACGCUAGCCUGAGCGAAACUUGUGUUUCCUUCAUUAUUCAUUCCGAUGUCAAGAUCCCUAUAAUUGAUAUAGGCUUGCCUUGGAGAUUUUGAAACAAAGGAACCCAUGUAACUAUAAAGUCUCCGAAUCCAGCUUAUAUACCUUUCAGAUAUUAUAUUCUCUUCUUCUUGCCAUCCUGCGUUGUAUACGAUUUUGUAUAAGUUGCCAACUCUAUGUGGGAAUGGAGUAGCAGUCGAUGGAAUUUCAUCCAUUAUGCCUCCGUAAGCAAUAAAACUUAUACUAGCGGAUGCUCCUUCUUCUUCAAAAAGUCUUGACCACAUCCCCUGAAAUCCAAUUUCAGGAAUGGGUUUCUUCACAUAAUCAGAUUUUGAUUUGAAGGAAGGACUAAGAAGAGGACUUUGGUAUGUCCUAUCAAGCAAAAUAUUCAAGGUUUCGUUUGGAAGGUUGCCCAUGUAGAGAAUAGAUUCAAUCCAACUCAUUUCAACGCAGUCUUCCCUCACUAGUCCCAGCUCAGGAAAUCUCUCUUGCAUCAAUGGAACCAGCUCAUCAAUCCCACCAAGAAACGAGGCAUGAAAGGAAGCUAGAAUUGUUCUCUUCCCAUCUUCACUAGAAUUUACCCUUGUUAGAGUAAUUCCAGAGUAAAAUUCAUCUGGAAGCUUGGGUGCAACGGAUUGCCAACGAUGAACAAGCUUGGUCGCAUUUUGUUCCAAGGUCUUGUUGAUUGUGAACACAGUCACAGUUGAUGGAACGGAAACCAACUGUACUUUCCAUGCAACCACAAUUCCAAAGCUACCCCCACCACCACCUCGAAUGGCCCAAAACAGAUCUUCUCCCAUGGAUUUCCUGUCAAGAACUCUCCCGUCAACAUCAACAAGUUGUGCAUCAAUUACAUUGUCUAUUGCAAGACCGUAUUUGCGGAAUAAUAAGCCAUAACCUCCUCCGCUCAAGUACCCUCCAAUUCCAACAGUGGGGCAAAGACCAGCUGGAAAGGCAAGAGUGUUGCUUCUGUUAGCAAUGUUGUGAUACAGUUCUCCUAGAACCGCACCUGAUUGAACCCAUGCAACUUUGUUUUCUACAUCAAUGUCAACUGAUCGUAGAUUAACCAUAUCAACAAUAACAAACGGGACUUCAGAUACAUAAGAAAGACCUUCAAAAUCAUGGCCACCGCUUCGAGUUCUAAUUUGGAGCCCAUGUUUUCUUGAACAAUAAAUUGUUGCUUGAAUAUGGGAAGCAUGGAGCGGUGUUACAAUAAUCAAAGGUUUAGGGGUAGAUGGUGUAGUGAAUCUAAAAUUUCGAAUGGUAGCGUUCAAAACAGAAGAAUAGGAAGAAUUAUUUUGUGUGAAGAUAACUUUAGA